UACGGAGGGUGCGAGCGUUGUCCGGAUUUAUUGGGUUUAAAGGGUGCGCAGGCGGCCGUUUAAGUCCGGGGUGAAAGCCCACUGCUCAACAGUGGAACUGCCCUGGAAACUGGACGGCUUGAGUACAGACGAGGGCGGCGGAAUGGAUGGUGUAGCGGUGAAAUGCAUAGAUACCAUCCAGAACCCCGAUUGCGAAGGCAGCUGCCUAGACUGUAACUGACGCUGAGGCACGAAAGCGUGGGGAGCGAACAGG
rnacentral:rRNA from 1 species